AGGACGGACGCUGGCGGCGUGCUUAACACAUGCAAGUCGAACGAGGUCCAAGCAGUCGCAAGACUGCGGAAGACCGAGUGGCGAACGGGUGCGUAACACGUGAGGAACUUGUCCCGGUCUCUGGAAUAACAGGUGGAAACACCUGCUAAUACCGGAUGCCGUCGGACCGUCGCAUGGCGGUCUGACGAAAGGGUUACCGGAUCGGGAGAGCCUCGCGGCCUAUCAGCUUGUUGGUGAGGUAACGGCUCACCAAGGCAUCGACGGGUAGCUGGUCUGAGAGGAUGAUCAGCCACACUGGGACUGAGACACGGCCCAGACUCCUACGGGAGGCAGCAGUGGGGAAUCUUGCACAAUGGGCGAAAGCCUGAUGCAGCAACGCCGCGUGCGGGAAGAAGGCCCUAGGGUUGUAAACCGCUUUCAGCAGGGAAGAAGAUGACGGUACCUGUAGAAGAAGGUGCGGCCAACUACGUGCCAGCAGCCGCGGUAAUCGUGA
rnacentral:rRNA from 1 species